rnacentral:piRNA from 1 species
UGAGGUCCCUUAUGCUCAAGCUAUGCCU